AUGCCGGAUGCUCCAGUUGAUCGCAUGGUCUUCUGGGAAAGCUUUCGCGGUAUGGGAUGGGGUCGCGUCCUAUCAGCUUGACGGCGGGGUAACGGCCCACCGUGGCUUCGACGGGUAGCCGGCCUGAGAGGGCGACCGGCCACAUUGGGACUGAGAUACGGCCCAGACUCCUACGGGAGGCAGCAGUGGGGAAUAUUGCACAAUGGGCGCAAGCCUGAUGCAGCGACGCCGCGUGAGGGAUGGAGGCCUUCGGGUUGUAAACCUCUUUUAUCGGGGAGCAAGCGAGAGUGAGUUUACCCGUUGAAUAAGCACCGGCUAACUACGUGCCAGCAGCCGCGGUAAUACGUAGGGUGCAAGCGUUAUCCGGAAUUAUUGGGCGUAAAGGGCUCGUAGGCGGUUCGUCGCGUCCGGUGUGAAAGUCCAUCGCUUAACGGUGGAUCCGCGCCGGGUACGGGCGGGCUUGAGUGCGGUAGGGGAGACUGGAAUUCCCGGUGUAACGGUGGAAUGU
rnacentral:rRNA from 1 species